UCUGGCUACUUCUCCUCUACUAACCACAGCUUAACUUGCUCUUUCUUAUAUAGGAACUUGCAGAAGCCCAAAAAGAACUGGAUGACCUCAAACAAAAGAAUUUCGAAAUAAAGGCAGUCAAUCGAGAACUUAUGAUGAAACGUAAGAUGUUAAAAGAAAGAAAAAGCUCUAAUGUGGGUUUGUUGUCAAARGAAGAUACCAUGAAAGAAGCAAAUAAAAGACACCAAUAUGUACAAUCAAAACUUCAUCUCACURCUAAUAUAUUUCAGGCCCUUAUCGUCGGCAGUGGUAUUAACUGGGCAGCGGAUACCAGUACAAGGGAAUUGGUGAUAAGUCUUGGUGAAACAAGUUGAGAAAUAGACAGUCAAAUACUUUUUAUACCGACAACUAAAUGUCGAAAAUAGAGUUUUAAAUGGUGUAAGAAUACUGAUAAAAUGCACGUGACUAUGUAAACAGAUUGGUAAGUUGAUUUUSUUGUGGAUAUUUCUGAGAGAUUUUAUUAUGAAAUGUUUCUCCUGUUUUCAAUUCGUUUUGAGUAGCGUUAUUUCGUCCACCAAAGGGACAUCGAGAAGUGGCCGUAUUAACGGUGUGGCCGUAUAUCAUUUCGCUUUUUAGCACCUCUCUUGUUCUUCUUCUCUCUAACACAUCUCUUGCCUUAAUUGUUUAUUUCUUGUUACCAUGCCUACCUAGCUCCUAUUGGUCUAUUUUCUUUAAUAACAAUGAUAUAUAAUAAUAUAAUCGUAUGAGGAAGUGGCUGAUCCCAUUAAA